rnacentral:rRNA from 1 species
CCUACGGGUGGCAGCAGUGGGGAAUAUUGCACAAUGGGGGAAACCCUGAUGCAGCGACGCCGCGUGAGUGAAGAAGUAAUUCGUUAUGUAAAGCUCUAUUAGCAGGGAAGAAAAUGACGGUACCUGAGUAAGAAGCCCCGGCUAACUACGUGCCAGCAGCCGCGGUAAUACGUAGGGGGCAAGCGUUAUCCGGAUGUACAGGGUGUAAAGGGAGCGUAGACGGCAGUGCAAGUCUGGAGUGUAAGGCGGGGGCUCAAGCCCCGGACUGCUCUGGAAACUGUACGGCUGGAGUGCAGAUGAGGUAAGUGGAAUGACUGGUGUAGCGGUGAAAGGCGUAGAUAUUAGGAGGAACACCAGUAGCGAAGGCGGCUUACUGGACUGUAACUGACGGUGAGGCUCGAAAGCGUGGGG